rnacentral:lncRNA from 1 species
AAAAUUUGAAGGAAUCAAUUUAAUCUAUUUUAAACAAGAUAAAUAAGGUGAGAAAAGUAUGAAUUAAGUAAGAAAUUCCAGAUAUAAGAAAAUGAUAAUGUCUUAGGAAAUUACUUAGGUUAAUUAAAAAAAGUUAGUACAAAUUACUAGCAACAUAAACAAUUACAAGAAAAUGAAGCAAAGUUUGAGAUUUAGACCCCAGUUUGGCCCAUUAACCUGUCAGAUUUAUGGACUUCAUUCUCAUGGUCUUUGAUCCAUUUUAACCUCCGGUAUAUCAUUUGUAUAUCACAGCUUUUAUUUCAAUCGUCUUUCAUGUAUAUCAAUGUAUAUUGAGACAUAUAUCAGCCCAAUGUAAAAUUUAACAUCAGCAUCUUCGGAUUCCAAUGCAUGUAUUUGUAUGUCUGAAGAUAUAAUUGCCCCUCAUAAUCUUUUUCACUAUAAUUAUGAAGGAUAUUUUUGUAAGAAAUAUAUAUAUUUAAAAAUAA